UACAGAGGUCCCAAGCGUUGUUCGGAUUCAUUGGGCGUAAAGGGUGCGUAGGUGGCAUGGUUAGUCGGGUGUGAAAUCCCGGGGCUCAACCCCGGAACUGCACUCGAUACUGCCGUGCUCGAGUACUGGAGAGGAGACUGGAAUUUACGGUGUAGCAGUGAAAUGCGUAGAUAUCGUAAGGAAGACCGGUGGCGAAGGCUAGUCUCUGGACAGUCACUGACACUGAGGCACGAAGGCCAGGGGAGCAAACGGG
rnacentral:rRNA from 1 species